ACUUGAUAAAUUCCAUUCCUUCAUAUAUCCUCGAUAAUAUGGUUCGAGAGUCUCUACCAAACUACCGAAAAUAGUUUGACUAUGAAGGCAGUUUUCUAAUUU
rnacentral:ncRNA from 2 species